rnacentral:rRNA from 1 species
CCUACGGGAGGCAGCAGUAGGGAAUCUUGCACAAUGGGCGAAAGCCUGAUGCAGCCAUGCCGCGUGAACGAUGAAGGCCUUAGGGUUGUAAAAUUCUUUCAUCAGGGAUGAUAAUGACAGUACCUGAAGAAGAAGCCCCGGCUAACUUCGUGCCAGCAGCCGCGGUAAU